rnacentral:rRNA from 1 species
CCACAAUGUACGGAAGUACGAUGGGGUUAUCUCGAGUGCAGUCCGAUAAGGGCUGCUUUUCCAUAGAGUAAUAUCCUGUGGGAAUAAGAGGGGGGCAAGACUGGUGUCAGCCGCCGCGGUAACACCAGCCCCUCGAGUGGUGGGGACUAUUAUUUGGCCUAAAGCGUCCGUAGCUGGCUGUAUCCGUCCCCCGUUAAAUCCAGCGUCCUAAGCGUUGGACCGCGGGUGAUACCAUACAGCUAGAGGGUGGGAUAGGUGAGCGGUAUUUCUGGGGUAGGGGCGAAAUCCUUUGAUCCCAGGAGGACCACCAGUGGCGAAGGCUGCUCACUAGAACACGCCUGACGGUCAGGGACGAAAGCUGGGGCAGCGAACCGG